AAAUUGAAGAGUUUGAUCAUGGCUCAGAUUGAACGCUGGCGGCAGGCCUAACACAUGCAAGUCGAGCGGUAGCACAGAGAGCUUGCUCUCGGGUGACGAGCGGCGGACGGGUGAGUAAUGUCUGGGAAACUGCCUGAUGGAGGGGGAUAACUACUGGAAACGGUAGCUAAUACCGCAUAAUGUCGCAAGACCAAAGUGGGGGACCUUCGGGCCUCAUGCCAUCAGAUGUGCCCAGAUGGGAUUAGCUAGUAGGUGGGGUAACGGCUCACCUAGGCGACGAUCCCUAGCUGGUCUGAGAGGAUGACCAGCCACACUGGAACUGAGACACGGUCCAGACUCCUACGGGAGGCAGCAGUGGGGAAUAUUGCACAAUGGGCGCAAGCCUGAUGCAGCCAUGCCGCGUGUGUGAAGAAGGCCUUCGGGUUGUAAAGCACUUUCAGCGGGGAGGAAGGCGUUAAGGUUAAUAACCUUGGCGAUUGACGUUACCCGCAGAAGAAGCACCGGCUAACUCCGUGCCAGCAGCCGCGGUAAUACGGAGGGUGCAAGCGUUAAUCGGAAUUACUGGGCGUAAAGCGCACGCAGGCGGUCUGUCAAGUCGGAUGUGAAAUCCCCGGGCUCAACCUGGGAACUGCAUUCGAAACUGGCAGGCUAGAGUCUUGUAGAGGGGGGUAGAAUUCCAGGUGUAGCGGUGAAAUGCGUAGAGAUCUGGAGGAAUACCGGUGGCGAAGGCGGCCCCCUGGACAAAGACUGACGCUCAGGUGCGAAAGCGUGGGGAGCAAACAGGAUUAGAUACCCUGGUAGUCCACGCCGUAAACGAUGUCGAUUUGGAGGUUGUGCCCUUGAGGCGUGGCUUCCGGAGCUAACGCGUUAAAUCGACCGCCUGGGGAGUACGGCCGCAAGGUUAAAACUCAAAUGAAUUGACGGGGGCCCGCACAAGCGGUGGAGCAUGUGGUUUAAUUCGAUGCAACGCGAAGAACCUUACCUGGUCUUGACAUCCACAGAACUUAGCAGAGAUGCUUUGGUGCCUUCGGGAACUGUGAGACAGGUGCUGCAUGGCUGUCGUCAGCUCGUGUUGUGAAAUGUUGGGUUAAGUCCCGCAACGAGCGCAACCCUUAUCCUUUGUUGCCAGCGGU
rnacentral:rRNA from 3 species